rnacentral:rRNA from 1 species
UUUAACGCGAAAAAGGCCUUACCCACCUUUGACAUGGCAGGAACUUACCAGAGAUGGUUUGGUGCUCGAAAGAGAACCUGCACACAGGUGCUGCAUGGCUGUCGUCAGCUCGUGUCGUGAGAUGUUGGGUUAAGUCCCGCAACGAGCGCAACCCUUGCCAUUAGUUGCUACAUUCAGUUGAGCACUCUAAUGGGACUGCCGGUGACAAACCGGAGGAAGGUGGGGAUGACGUCAAGUCCUCAUGGCCCUUAUAGGUGGGGCUACACACGUCAUACAAUGGCUGGUACAAAGGGUUGCCAACCCGCGAGGGGGAGCUAAUCCCAUAAAGCCAGUCGUAGUCCGGAUCGCAGUCUGCAACUCGACUGCGUGAAGUCGGAAUCGCUAGUAAUCGGGAUCAGGAAGGGCCCCCC